UUUGAAAAGUGGGGAUUAGGUACGUAAGCAUUUUUAGUUUACGUUUAAAAGGGAAUUCGGUGAAAAACCGAAGCGGUCCCGCCACUGUAAUGGAAGAGCUUUUCUUGUAAUCACUGGUUAUGAACUGGGAAGAGAGAAAAAGCAAAGACGCCAUAGCCAGGAGACCUGCCUAGUCUAACAACACUGC
rnacentral:ncRNA from 2 species